rnacentral:rRNA from 1 species
UUUAUUUUGAGUUUGAUCUUGGCUCUGAAUGAACGCUAGUUAUUGACAUAACACAUGCUAGUCGCAAAAGAAAAAGAAUUUAAAUUUCCGGCGUAAAGGUGAGUAAAUCUAGAAGCAAAGAAAAAUUUUUCUUUCACUACCUUAAAAUAAAAGGGAAAAUCCUUGUUUUAAGAUGUGUCUAGAACGGAUUAGGGCAUAGCUCGAUGAUCUUUAGCUGAUCUGAAAGGAUGGUCAGUCACAGUGGAACUGAAAUAAGGACCACACAAUCAGAGUAUUGGCAGCAGUGGGGAAUAUUGGACAAUCAGGAGGAAGCUGGAUCCAGUCAAAUAACAUGAAUGAGUAUUUGGUACCAUUCUAUGGAAAUGAGGAUAAUGACGUUAAUUUCCUGAAUAGUCCCGGCCAAUCUCGUGCCAGCAGCCGCGGUACUACGAGAGGGGCGAGCGUUAGUCAUAAGAAUUUGGCGUAAAGAGUAAAAAGGCGGGAAAAAUCGAAAGGAAGAACAAAGUUCAUCCAAUAAAGAUUAAAAAAAGAAGAAGAUUCUUCCUAGAGUAAAAUAGAGGAGAGUAGAAUUGAAAGUGUAAGGAUGAAAUCUAGAAAUAUUUUCAGGAAUAUCAAUAGCGAAGGUCACUCUCUUGGUUAUUACUGACGCUGAAUUACGAAAGUGUGGGGAGCAAACGGGAUUAGAGACCUCGGUAGUCCACACCCUAAACGAUGAAUGUUCGAAAAAGCGAAAGGCUUUUUCCUACCUAACGGGUUAAACAUUCCGCCUGAGGAGUAAGAUCGCAAGGUUGAAACUCAAAAGAUUAGUCGGUCUCUCACACCAGCAGUGAAGCAUGAAGUUUAAUUUGAUGAUACGCAAAGAACGUUACCUAUUUUAGAAGAUCAAUUAUACUAAGAAUUCGAAAGGAGGUUAUAGUGAACGAAAAAUAUUCGUUUUUUGAUUUUUCAGGCGUUGCAUGGCUGUCGUCAGUUCGUGUUGUGAAAAGUUUAAUACGAACAAAACCCCAGAAUAAAGAGCUUACAUAGGAGAUGUCUCGAAUUCAGGGACUACGUCAAGUCAUUAUGACCCUUAUAAAUAGGGCUAAAUUCGUGCCACUAGAAACAAGACAAAGGGAAACAAGAGUGAAGACACACAAAUGUCGUCAAAAACACUGGAGGAAAUCCCCGAACUUUGUUCUUAGGUUCAGACAGGAUCUUGAAAUUUAGAUCCUCGAAGUAGGAAUUGCUAGUAAUCGUGAAUCAGCCACGUCACGGUGAAUAAAAUCUGAGAGAUGAACUAACCGUCCGUCAUAGUCUGGGAAUCAAUCUGGUUUGAAGUAGGAAGGAAACACAGAAAGGGAAGAAGAAGGUAAAUCUUCAUUUCCAAAAUAGAGCUGAUGUUGAUAUUCUAUUAUUAUUGAUUGGUGACUGGAUUAAAGUCGUAGCAAGGUCGGGUUACGGGAACGUGAUCCGGAAUGGUCAAAUAA